rnacentral:rRNA from 1 species
GACGAACGCUGGCGGCGUGCUUAACACAUGCAAGUCGAACGGAAAGGCCCUGCUUUUGUGGGGUGCUCGAGUGGCGAACGGGUGAGUAACACGUGAGUAACCUGCCCUUGACUUUGGGAUAACUUCAGGAAACUGGGGCUAAUACCGGAUAGGAGCUCCUGCUGCAUGGUGGGGGUUGGAAAGUUUCGGCGGUUGGGGAUGGACUCGCGGCUUAUCAGCUUGUUGGUGGGGUAGUGGCUUACCAAGGCUUUGACGGGUAUCCGGCCUGAGAGGGUGACCGGCCACAUUGGGACUGAGAUACGGCCCAGACUCCUACGGGAGGCAGCAGUGGGGAAUAUUGCACAAUGGGCGGAAGCCUGAUGCAGCAACGCCGCGUGCGGGAUGACGGCCUUCGGGUUGUAAACCGCCUUCGCCUGUGACGAAGCGUGAGUGACGGUAAUGGGUAAAGAAGCACCGGCUAACUACGUG